CUGGCAUCCUCGCUUGUAUCAGGAAUAAUGUAGCCAGUGGGACCAGGGAUGUGAUCUGUAUUCUGCUCUGGUGAGGCCACACCUUGAAUAGUGUUCAGUGUUGGGCUCCUUGCUACAAGAAGGACAUUGAGACCCUGGAGCAUGUCCAGGGAAGGGCUACAAAGCUGGUGAAGGGUCUGGAGCACAAGUCUUAUGAGGAGCAGCUGAGGGAACUAGGGUUGUUCAGUCUGAAGAAGAGGAGGCUCGGGGGAGAUCUUACUGCUUCUCUACAGCUACCUGAAAGGAAGGUGUGGGGAGCUGGGUGUUGGCCUCUUCUUGCAGAUAGCCAGUGAUAGGACAAGAGGGAAUGGCCUCAAGUUGCACCAGGGGAGGUUUAGGUUGGAAGUGAGGAGACAUUUCUUCUCAGAAAGAGUAGUCAGGCAUGGGGAUGAGUUGCCCAGGGAGGUGGUGGCGUCACUGUCCCUGGGGGUUUUUAAGGAAAGGUUGGACAUAGUGCUUAGGGACAUGGCUUAGUGUAGCUUUUUUGAAAUUCUUUUGCAAACACAGUUGCAGAACCCUGGUAAUCAUUUCUUUCACUCAGAUUUUGGAAAAAUGAGAUUUGAAACACUCUUAGUGCAAGUCCUAGGAAACCUGACCAGGGAUCCCAGUUGUGUUUCCUUGGUUCUGAUAGUCCCUGGAAAUGAGUGCUGGGACUCAUUUGUUGCUUAAACACCGUUCCUGGGAGUGUUUAAGGAAAGGUUGGACAUGGUGCUUAAGGACAUGAUUUAGUGGGCUAUAUUGGUGGUAGGGGGAUGGUUGGACCAGAUGAUCUUGGAGGUCUUUUCCAAUCUUAAUCGUUCUAUGAUUCUAUGAUCUCAUCCCCCUACCCACAGUGGAAACAAGGACUAACCCCCUUUCUCUGCAGGCUGCCUGUGCACCGUAUGGCCAUGAUGCAUCUGCUGUGGAAACUGUCCCGGGAUGGGACAAGCAGGUCAGAGAAGGACAUCUGGCAGAAUGCAGUUACGUUCAGCCUCAGCCUGGGGGUCCAAUCCCCCUUCACAUCCAGCAUAGCUGUACGCAUGGAACUGAUGGAUACCUGGCACCAUGAUUCUUUGCCUCUAGACUCCCCUAUGCUGCUUCCUCCCUCUCACAACCUGGUUCCCUGCCAGCUUCUCUGGUGUGGCUUCAGGCCUGUGUGGUUCAACUCCACCAAGUUUUGGAUGGUCCAAAAGUUCCAGUUCUGUCUUGAGAUGCUUCAUCCCAAAGCCUCUGAUGCUGUAGUACUGACCAAGCUCUCAUCCCCCCGUAAAGGUAAGUAGAAAAUUCUCAACUGUGGAUCCUCGGAUGUGUUGCAUAACAGUUGAACUCUCCUUUCAGUAUUUAUUUUCUCACCAGACUUCCUGAUUAUCACUGUGCUUGUGACGGAUGGAGAAAUAGGCAAAGCAAAUUUGCCCUUAGUGCAUUGGAAGCCUCAGUCCAGACAGAACAUGAAAGGAAGAGACUGCUGUCUAGGUCUUGAGCUGAAGAGAGAGGCUAGUGCUUCUCUCUGGUGCUGGGGCAGAAGUGCCCUCCUCUGUGAGAGGUAUACUCUAGACAAGGCCUGGAGCUGCUAACUGAAGGAACGAAAAGUAAUGAGCACACUGCACACCAUCAGGGUGAAUGAAGAGGAGAUUGCUGUGGUCUUUGUGGAAAGUCUGCAGAGAGAAGAUUUUGAGUGACCUGAAGCAAGGACAUCUGGAAUUCACAGUCAGAAUGGAGAAAGCUGGAGGCUUGUGACUUCUGGCACCAAUAGGAAGGCUCCUGCUCAACCUGCAGACCUGCAGCUCCAGAAUAAGUAUAGUGCCCAGGCACUGGUGAGAACAAACUAGGACUUUCAGCGGAGGCAUCCAGAGUCAGCUGAGCCUGACUCUAGUGUCCAAACAGAAAGAAAAGGCAUGUGAAUUACUGGAAACUCUCUCAUUACGAUAAAGGCAUUGAUACACUAGAAUGAAUCUAGAGGAAGGCCACUAAAAUGAGGGGGCUGAACUACAUGGCAUGCAAAAAGAAGUUGAAGGAGCUCGUUUUGUUAUUAAGGAUACCUUAUUUUUGUCUACAAUUACCUGACUGGAGGAAGAUCCAAAGAAUACAGAGACUUGGAGGUACAUGGCCUUAGGAUAAGAGGCAAUUGAUACAAGUUGGAACAAGGGAAAUAUUGAAUGGGUAUAAGGAAGUUUUUGUUUUGUUUUGUUUUGUUUUAAAUCAUAAUAACCAAGAACUGUUGGAAUCCUCAACCUUGGAGAUGUUCAUGAUAAGUUCCUGGGUAAACUGAUCGAAAUGAAA
rnacentral:lncRNA from 1 species